AGAGUUUGAUCAUGGCUCAGAAUGAACGCUGGCGGCGUGCUUAACACAUGCAAGUCGUACGAGAACUCUUUAGCUUGCUAAAGACAGUAAAGUGGCGCACGGGUGAGUAACGCGUGGGUAAUCUACCUCUGAAUCUGGGAUAACAUUGCGAAAGCGAUGCUAAUACCGGAUAAUAUCUCAAAACCAUAUGGUUUUGAGAUCAAAAAUGGCCUCUACAUGUAAGCUGUUGUUUGGAGAUGAGCCCGCGUACCAUUAGCUUGUUGGCAGGGUAAUGGCCUACCAAGGCAACGAUGGUUAGCUGGCCUGAGAGGAUGAUCAGCCACACUGGAACUGACACACGGUCCAGACUCCUACGGGAGGCAGCAGUGAGGAAUUUUGCGCAAUGGGGGAAACCCUGACGCAGCAACGCCGCGUGAGUGAUGAAGGCCUUCGGGUCGUAAAGCUCUGUCAAGUGGGAAGAAAAUGUAAAAUGUUAAUACCAUUUUUCACUGACGGUACCACUGAAGGAAGCACCGGCUAACUCCGUGCCAGCAGCCGCGGUAAUACGGAGGGUGCAAGCGUUAUUCGGAAUUAUUGGGCGUAAAGGGCGCGUAGGCGGCCUUUUAAGUCAGAUGUGAAAGCCCGGGGCUUAACCCCGGAAGUGCAUUUGAAACUAAAGGGCUUGAGUAUGGGAGAAGGAAAGUGGAAUUCCUGGUUGUAGCGGUGAAAUGCGUAGAUAUCAGAGGAACACCGGUGGCGAAAGGCGACUUCCUGGACCAAUACUGACGCUAAGGCGCAAAGGCGUGGGUAGCAAACAGGAGUAGAUACCCAGGUAGUCCACGCAGUAAAUGGUGAACACUAGGUGUAGCGGGUAUUGACCCCUGCUGUGCCGCAGCUAACGCAUUAAGUGUUCCGCCUGGGGAGUACGGUCGCAAGAUUAAAACUCAAAGGAAUUGACGGG
rnacentral:rRNA from 1 species